rnacentral:lncRNA from 1 species
GUUGUCAGAAGCUCCUUAAAGGUUCCUUGUGCAUAGAAAUUAUUGAUCAUGGAUGCAUAACAGGUACGACGCCUGGCAUCAAAUGUCAGAGAUACCAUAUCAAUCACAACCUUACCAAGAUAUCGACACUUGACAAAAGGUGGUAUAUCAAGCACAUCAGCAUCUGGAUAUCCUGAGAAACUAACGCCUGGCAUCAAAUGUUAGAGAUACCAUAUCAACCACAACCUUACCAAGAUAUCGACACUUGACAAAAGGUGGUAUAUCAAGCACAUCAGCGUCUGGAUAUCCUGAGAAACCAAGAGCCUCGAGAAAAACUUUAGCUAAGGCAGUUCCUAUGCUCUUUGAAGCUGCACUUAGAGAUCCAGUUUCAGUUCUCCGACGAUUUGGAGAUGCAAAUCCUUUA